UUUUUUUUUGUUUUUUUCAGAGACAAGGUCUGGCCCUGCUGCCCAGGCUGGAGUGCAAUGGUGCAGUCUCAGCUCACUGCAAGCUCCACUUCUCAGGCUCAAGCCACCCUCCCCCAGCCAUCCCCCUGGUACUACUGAUGACACUGUGCUGAGUCACAGCAGCGCUCCACCCACCAGGACUCGUUUUUCAUUUCCAUAAUUGGAACGUGCAGAAUCAGGGGCAGAUGAGUAGCUGGAACUACAAGCAUGUGCCACCACGCCUGGCUAAUUUUUUUGUAUUUUUUGUAGAGAUAGAGUUUCACCACGUUGCCCAGGCUAGUCUUGAACUCGUGAGCUUAAGAGAUCGGCCUGACUCAGCCUCCCAAAGUGCUGGGAUUACAGGCAUGAGCCACCGUGCCCAGCCAUGUGUGAAUGUUGAGUCACACCUAUGUGAGAGACAGCUGGUUGUGUGUGUGAUGUAUGAGUGUGUGUGAUUCAUGAAUGUAUGUGCCAUCCAUAUGGGGAACAUUUGAGUGUGAGUGAUGUCUGCAUGUAUGUGAGAGAUGCCUGUGUGUACGUAUGACAUCAGAGUCCUUCACUGGACAUUGCAAAGGACCCUGGUGGGGUAGGGCCUCUUUCUUACUGAGUUCACAGAACGAAGUGUUAUAGGGGCCUCCAAGUGCUGGUGGCCCUGUUGGCAUGACUGGGUAGAGCUUGCCUAAGAAUAAAAUCACCAAAGAAAGACACAACCCUGGAGAUAGUGGAGCACUGGAUCUAGCCAUAUGAAGCUGUCCUCUGGGCUUUUUAGAUGUGGAAGUCAGCCUUGUCCCUCCUCAGUUAGCCCCUUUCCCUUUAUAUUUAGCUGGUUCAAGCCAGGUUUCAUUGCAAAAGUCCUGACUAAUACAAACACUUAUGAUAGAAUGUGAAUGGGGAAAUCUUCCAUUUACUAUGAUUUCAAGCAAAUGCGAGAUUUGAAUGCUCCAGAAGCAGGUACACCAGCCUUACCCCCUGGAGGCCCCAGGAAGCAAAGCCACCAAGGCAGGCCUCAGCACCAGCAGGCCUCCCUAGGAGGGGCUCCCAGUGAAGGGGAAGGAAAAACUGCUUGCAGGAUGCUGGCAUGUGGGCUCUCCAGCUGCAGCAGGGCCGUGCAGGUAGGAGAGAAGGUCAGCGGGCCCGAAGUUUGGCUUAGGGAUUUAA
rnacentral:lncRNA from 1 species